AAAUUAAAGAGGCAACAUGUGUAACAUACUUGGAACAACGCCUGGCCUGUAGUAACUGCUCAAUAAGGCUUAGCUAUCAUUUAUGGCCAGACUCACUGUGCAAGAAAUUUUGGAAAAUGUACAACUGAGCAGCUCUAGAAAUUUUACCUCUGAAACUGCCUAUUCAGAGCAGUCCUGGAAUGGCAAUAGCCCUCCUCACCUCUGCAACAACCGUAUUCUAGCCCUGCAGUAAGACACCCAUUUCACAUCACCAAGAGGAAACUGGAGAGCUGUCAAUGCAUCCCAAGUUUCUCAGAACAUUUUAUGACAGCCAUUCAUUUCCAGAUUGCCUGACCCGGGAGUUUAAAAAAAAAAAAAGAAGCUUUUUGUGUAUGAGAAGAUAAAGAGGUAAGAAAAGGGGACAAUGGGGUCUGGCAGAAAAAACAAAAAAGAGGGAGAUAAAAGGCAAUACAGAACUGUUGAUAAUGUGCCCUCCGCUUUACACAGGGCGCUAAAGGAGACUGAACCACUAGGUGGCAGCAGAUGAGCAGAUGAACCAAAAACAACCAAUUGCCUCCCUUUCAGGAAGCUUUGCACCAAUCCCAACCUACAGGACAUCUCCUCCCAUGGCAUACACUCAACUGUGCACAAGACGGUGCUGGGAUGGCGCCUGGCCUUGGAUUAACUGAGCUGCUGUUGUACGCACUGCUGCACCUGGCACCUCAGACAGGCUGCGAGGACGGAAGCGGCAGCAGGUAAAUUAUCCCUAACAAGGUUCAUGCCCACAAGUGCGAGAAAAGCCGGAUCCUGGCUCUCC